ensembl:snoRNA LOC120100337 small nucleolar RNA SNORD116
GCCAAAAUGGUAACUUCCUGUCAAACAUUCAUUUGUAAGAGCUUGACAAAAUAAGUGAAUAUUCAUUAUCACCAUUCUAAUAAUGACUGAAAUGC